rnacentral:rRNA from 1 species
UUAACACAUGCAAGUCGAGGGGCAGCAUCAUCAAAGCUUGCUUUGAUGGAUGGCGACCGGCGCACGGGUGAGUAACACGUAUCCAACCUGCCGACAACACUGGGAUAGCCUUUCGAAAGAAAGAUUAAUACCGGAUGGCAUAAUUAUUCCGCAUGGGAUAAUUAUUAAAGAAUUUCGGUUGUCGAUGGGGAUGCGUUCCAUUAGGCAGUUGGCGGGGUAACGGCCCACCAAACCUACGAUGGAUAGGGGUUCUGAGAGGAAGGUCCCCCACAUUGGAACUGAGACACGGUCCAAACUCCUACGGGAGGCAGCAGUGAGGAAUAUUGGUCAAUGGACGAGAGUCUGAACCAGCCAAGUAGCGUGAAGGAUGACUGCCCUAUGGGUUGUAAACUUCUUUUAUACGGGAAUAAAGUGAGCCACGUGUGGCUUUUUGUAUGUACCGUAUGAAUAAGGAUCGGCUAACUCCGUGCCAGCAGCCGCGGUAAUACGGAGGAUUCGAGCGUUAUCCGGAUUUAUUGGGUUUAAAGGG